AGUGAACGCUGGCGGUAGGCCUAACACAUGCAAGUCGAACGGCAGCACAGUAAGAGCUUGCUCUUACGGGUGGCGAGUGGCGGACGGGUGAGGAAUACAUCGGAAUCUACUUUUUCGUGGGGGAUAACGUAGGGAAACUUACGCUAAUACCGCAUACGACCUACGGGUGAAAGCAGGGGAUCUUCGGACCUUGCGCGAUUGAAUGAGCCGAUGUCGGAUUAGCUAGUUGGCGGGGUAAAGGCCCACCAAGGCGACGAUGCGUAGCUGGUCUGAGAGGAUGAUCAGCCACACUGGAACUGAGACACGGUCCUGACUCCUACGGGAGGCAGCAGUGGGGAAUAUUGGACAAUGGGCGCAAGCCUGAUCCAGCCAUACCGCGUGGGUGAAGAAGGCCUUCGGGUUGUAAAGCCCUUUUGUUGGGAAAGAAAAGCAGCAGGUUAAUACCACGCUGUCCUGACGGUACCCAAAGAAUAAGCACCGGCUAACUUCGUG
rnacentral:rRNA from 1 species